UAUCACAAAUAGAGAAAAUCGAAAAUAUAUCCAUUAUUUUAAAAUUAUGACAUACUAAAUUAAACAAUUAUUGUAACAACAAUAUUAAAGAGAAUCAAUUCAGACAAAUGAGAUCAAGAUUUUAAAAGCUUGGAAGGGUCUUGAGAAGCAUAGACAUUUUUACCACCUACAUUUACCAAAUAAGUGAUAUACGUACUGAUGAUACCAAAAUUGCAUCAGGAUGCGAGAAAUAGAAAGAGAGCUCCCGUUUAAACAUUUUGUCACAUUCGCACUGUACCCGAAUUGUAUACUCCAUUCAUAAAAAACUUACAGAAAAAGUAAACAACUAUGUAUUUUAUCAUCGAAAAUAUUACAGAAGCACUUACUAAAAGGAAAUAGUAACACAUUUUUAGGACUCUUGAUGUUUUUAACAAUAUAUGACCAU